rnacentral:rRNA from 2 species
UGGUCGUGUUUGGAAAGAUUUUUCGGUCUGGGAUGGGCUCGCGGCCUAUCAGCUUGUUGGUGAGGUAAUGGCUCACCAAGGCGUCGACGGGUAGCCGGCCUGAGAGGGUGACCGGCCACACUGGGACUGAGACACGGCCCAGACUCCUACGGGAGGCAGCAGUGGGGAAUAUUGCACAAUGGGCGGAAGCCUGAUGCAGCAACGCCGCGUGAGGGAUGACGGCCUUCGGGUUGUAAACCUCUUUUAGCAGGGAAGAAGCGAAAGUGACGGUACCUGCAGAAAAAGCGCCGGCUAACUACGUGCCAGCAGCCGCGGUAAUACGUAGGGCGCAAGCGUUAUCCGGAAUUAUUGGGCGUAAAGAGCUCGUAGGCGGUUUGUCGCGUCUGCUGUGAAAUCCCGAGGCUCAACCUCGGGCCUGCAGUGGGUACGGGCAGACUAGAGUGCGGUAGGGGAGAUUGGAAUUCCUGGUGUAGCGGUGGAAUGCGCAGAUAUCAGGAGGAACACCGAUGGCGAAGGCAGAUCUCUGGGCCGUAACUGACGCUGA